CGUUGGGUUAAAACCCAACGCUAUGAUAAUUCGUCCCUUCGGGACU
rnacentral:sRNA from 1 species